rnacentral:rRNA from 1 species
GAUGAACGCUGGCGGCGUGCCUAAUACAUGCAAGUCGAGCGAACAGACGAGGAGCUUGCUCCUCUGACGUUAGCGGCGGACGGGUGAGUAACACGUGGAUAACCUACCUAUAAGACUGGGAUAACUUCGGGAAACCGGAGCUAAUACCGGAUAACAUGUUGAACCGCAUGGUUCAACAGUGAAAGACGGUCUUGCUGUCACUUAUAGAUGGAUCCGCGCCGCAUUAGCUAGUUGGUAAGGUAACGGCUUACCAAGGCAACGAUGCGUAGCCGACCUGAGAGGGGGAAUCGGCCCCCGGGAACGUGGCCCACGUUCAGACCUCUGAGGGUGGCAGCAGUAGGGAAUCUUCCGCAAUGGGCGAAAGCCUGACGGAGCAACGCCGCGUGAGUGAAGAAGGUCUUCGGAUCGUAAAACUCUGUUAUUAGGGAAGAACAAAUGUGUAAGUAACUAUGCACGUCUUGACGGUACCUAAUCAGAAAGCCACGGCUAACUACGUG